rnacentral:tRNA from 1 species
GGAAAGUUGCCGGAGUGGUCGAACGGGGCAGACUCGAAAUCUGUUGAGCUCUUCGGGGCUCCGGGGGUUCGAAUCCCUCACUUUCCG